rnacentral:rRNA from 1 species
AAGCUCGUAGUUGAAUUUCGGGAUCAGAUUGUCGGUCGUGCCUCGGUACGUACUGGUAUUAUUGGUUCCUACCUUCUGAAGAACCGCGAUGUCAUUAAUUUGGUGUCGUGGGGAAUCAGGACUGUUACUUUGAAAAAAUUAGUGUGUUUAAAGCAGGCUUACGCUUGAAUACAUUAGCAUGGAAUAAUGAAAUAGGACGUUUGAUUCUAUUUUGUUGGUUUCUAGGAUUGACGUAAUGAUUAAUAGGGAUAGUUGGG